UUAAGUUCAGCGGGUAUUCCUACCUGAUCCGAGGUCAACCUUGAGAAAUGGGGGGUUUCACGGCUGGUAACCCGCGGCGCGCCCAGAGCGAAGAGAAUGUUACUGCGCUCGGUCGCGUUCGCGAGCCCGCCACUGUCUUUCGGGGCCUGCGGGCAGCCGCAGGACCCCAACGCAAGCCCGGGGGCUUGAUGGUUGAAAUG
rnacentral:misc_RNA from 1 species